rfam:Pongo abelii chromosome 3.
GCUGGGUGUGGUGGUGCACGCCUGUAGUCCCAGCUACUUGGGAGGCUGAGGCAGGGGGAUUGCUUGAACCUGGGAGGUGGAGGUUGCAGUGAGCCAAGAUCACACCACUGCCCUCCACCCUGGGGAACUAAGUGAGACUCUGUCUCAA